CUUAUAUAGUUUCAAAUUAAAACAUUAGACUGUGACUCUAAAAACAGGGGUUUAAGUCCCCUUAUAAAC
rnacentral:tRNA from 1 species